AUUGAACGCUGGCGGCAUGCUUUACACAUGCAAGUCGAACGGUAACAGGCCGCAAGGUGCUGACGAGUGGCGAACGGGUGAGUAAUGCAUCGGAACGUGCCCAGUCGUGGGGGAUAACGCAGCGAAAGCUGUGCUAAUACCGCAUACGAUCUAUGGAUGAAAGCGGGGGACCGUAAGGCCUCGCGCGAUUGGAGCGGCCGAUGUCAGAUUAGGUAGUUGGUGGGGUAAAGGCUAACCAAGCCAACGAUCUGUAGCUGGUCUGAGAGGACGACCAGCCACACUGGGACUGAGACACGGCCCAGACUCCUACGGGAGGCAGCAGUGGGGAAUUUUGGACAAUGGGCGCAAGCCUGAUCCAGCAAUGCCGCGUGCAGGAAGAAGGCCUUCGGGUUGUAAACUGCUUUUGUACGGAACGAAAAGGUCUGGGUUAAUACCCUGGGCCGAUGACGGUACCGUAAGAAUAAGCACCGGCUAACUACGUGCCAGCAGCCGCGGUAA
rnacentral:rRNA from 1 species